GGCGAGUUAAUUUAACGGUCAAAAUGCACGACUUAUAAUCGUGUCUUGCUGGUUCGAAUCCAGCACUUGCCA
rnacentral:tRNA from 1 species